UGGAACCUAGGCAUGCCUGCACUGCAU
rnacentral:piRNA from 1 species